rnacentral:rRNA from 1 species
GACGAACGCUGGCGGCGUGCUUAACACAUGCAAGUCGAACGGAAAGGCCCUGCUUUUGUGGGGUGCUCGAGUGGCGAACGGGUGAGUAACACGUGAGUAACCUGCCCUUGACUUUGGGAUAACUUCAGGAAACUGGGGCUAAUACCGGAUAGGAGCUCCUGCUGCAUGGUGGGGGUUGGAAAGUUUCGGCGGUUGGGGAUGGACUCGCGGCUUAUCAGCUUGUUGGUGGGGUAGUGGCUUACCAAGGCUUUGACGGGUAGCCGGCCUGAGAGGGUGACCGGGCACAGGGGGAUAGGGGUGGGCGCAAGCUGGCACGGGGGGCAAGGGGGGGAAGUUUGGCAGGAGGGGGGGGAGGGGGGGGGCAGCGGCCCCGGGUGGGGAAGGGCGGCUUACGGGGUAGAAACGGAUUCCGCCGAAAAGGGAGGGGGAUUGACGGUAAUGGAAAAGAAAGCCCCGGCUAACUACGUG